rfam:Lentinula edodes NBRC 111202 DNA, contig: scaffold622.
GCCUCAAUAGCUCAGAGGUAGAGCGUUUAGUGAAAAUCGGUAUCACUCAAAGGCUAGGGUUCGAAUCCCUAUUGAGACU